rnacentral:tRNA from 1 species
GGGCCUAUAGUUUAGUGGCAAAAUAAGUCGAUGGCAUCGACUAGUCGGCAGUUCAAUUCUGCCUAGGUCCA